rnacentral:tRNA from 1 species
GGGUCGGUACCGAAGUGGCCAAACGGGGCGGUCUGUAAAAUCGCUGGCUUACGCCUUCACAGGUUCGAAUCCUGUCCGGCCCACCA